rnacentral:rRNA from 1 species
GAUGAACGCUGGCGGCGUGCUUAACACAUGCAAGUCGAACGGAAAGGCCCAAGCUUGCUUGGGUGCUCGAGUGGCGAACGGGUGAGUAACACGUGGGUGAUCUGCCCUGCACUUUGGGAUAAGCCUGGGAAACUGGGUCUAAUACCGGAUAGGACCAUCGUUUCGUGUCGGUGGUGGAAAGUUUUUCGGUGUGGGCUGAGCUCGCGGCCUAUCAGCUUGUUGGUGGGGUAAUGGCCUACCAAGGCGUCGACGGGUAGCCGGCCUGAGAGGGUGUACGACGACACUGAGACUGAGAGACGGCCGAGACGCCGACGGGAGGAAGAAGUGGGGAAGAUUGCACAAGGGGCGCAAGCCGGAUGAAGCGAGGCCGCGGGGGGGAUGACGGCCUUCGGGUUGGAAAAGCGCUUCGCCAAGGACGAAGCGUUUUGUGACGGUACUUGGAGAAGAAGCACCGGCUAACUACGUG